AACGCCUGCAAUAUUAUUCACAUUAGUGUUUAAGUGACACGAUAUUUGUAAACCAGAUUAGAGCUAAGGCUGUUAAGCGUCAGGUAAUACGUUCAUUACCUGAUGCCGCAAAGCGGUUCUUGUGUUUUUUGCAUAGUCCACGAAAAGUUAGUGUCAGUGAGACGUGUGUUAAUCUAAGGACGACAAGCAUAUUAAACAUAAACAGGUGUGCUGACGAACGUUAGACAUUGCUUUGGUGUGAGUGUUUUGGGCGACACCAAGCAUUCGAGGGGUUUCGCGAGUGUGUACGCGGUCGGGUGUGGUAGUGUACGACCAACACUGAUGAACAUACCCCACGGCACCAACAGUGGCACCAACAGCGUUGACGGCGCCUCCGACGGCAUUCACCGAAGCGCCGACCGCCUCGCCGACAGCACCGACGGUCGCGCCGACCGAGGCCCCUACCUGAGCACCCAUAGCGCCGACGCUGGCACCCAUCGAGCUUAUUAUGUUAGUCGGAAAGAAGCUAGAGGAGUCCGUGUGUGGAGAGUCGGUGGCGGCGGUCGCCGGCGUCAUCGGCGGACCUCCGCUGCCGCCGGAGUGCGGCCCGCCCGAUCCACCGCUCUCCUCGGAGGGUGUUUUGCUCAAGAAUAGACCAGUACCAAAAUCCACCAAGUUGAUUGGCGAACU